rnacentral:rRNA from 1 species
GUAGGGUGCGAGCGUUAAUCGGAAUUACUGGGCGUAAAGCGUGCGCAGGCGGUUAUAUAAGGCAGAUGUGAAAUCCCCGGGCUCGACCUGGGACCUGCAUUUGUGACUGUAUAGCUAGAGUACGGUAGAGGGGGAUGGAAUUCCGCGUGUAGCAGUGAAAUGCGUAGAUAUGCGGAGGAACACCGAUGGCGAAGGCAAUCCCCUGGACCUGUACUGACGCUCAUGCACGAAAGCGUGGGGAGCAAACAGGAUUAGAUACCCUGGUAGUCCACGCCCUAAGCGAUGUCAACUGGUUGUUGGGUCUUCACUGACUCAGUAACGAAGCUAACGCGUGAAGUUGACCGCCUGGGGAGUACGGCCGCAAGGUUG